UCAUACUUUUCUGAAUGUUCAUUUAUAAUUUAUGAUAAAAAAAUUUAAUUUAUUCAUAUAUGUAUAUAUAUAACUAGCUACACACAUAGAUUUUCAAUGUAAAGUAAAAUUUAAAAAAAACAAAAAACUUAAGUUAACAGUUGGUGGGAUUUUUUCAAGUCCACUCAAAUAACAAUGAAAAAGCUAGUAAAACUCAACUGUUGAAAAGAAAUUAGAUUCCUUCAAUGACAAGCCCUAUUUGUAUAAGAAGGGCAAAGUGGAUGUACUUGGUUGUUGUGAGAAGAACAAGAUAUACUAGGUUGGUAGAAAAAAAAACAAGGACUAGUUAUCACUACUAGCUGGAAAAAAGAUGACUCUGAUGUUGAAGAAACUUGAUAGUUAGAAAAUAAGUAGCAAUGCAAUCAAAAUUAAUCAAGCGAAAUAUUUUAAUUAAAAUUAAUAGUGUGAUUUUUAUUUACUAAUUAAAUUUAUUAUUGGAUAA